UACGUAGGGGGCGAGCGUUAUCCGGAUUCAUUGGGCGUAAAGCGCGUGUAGGCGGCCCGGCAGGCCGGGGGUCGAAGCGGGGGGCUCAACCCCCCGAAGCCCCCGGAACCUCCGCGGCUUGGGUCCGGUAGGGGAGGGUGGAACACCCGGUGUAGCGGUGGAAUGCGCAGAUAUCGGGUGGAACACCGGUGGCGAAGGCGGCCCUCUGGGCCGAGACCGACGCUGAGGCGCGAAAGCUGGGGGAGCGAACAGG
rnacentral:rRNA from 1 species